CGCGCUCUCCGCUCUCCGCCGCUCAGGGAAUCCCAGCGGGGCUGGGGCUGGAAGGGAGCUCUGGAGAUCACCCAGGGCAGCCCCCCUGCCAAGGCAGGGUCACCCAGGGCAGAAGACACUGAAUCGCUCCCAUUAAAAAAACCCUUCACCUUCACCUUCAAGGCUCUGCAGACUCUGGGUUUCAGAAACAAAAGGAGCCACCUCUAUGGACAGAGCAUUCAGCCUCACUCACUUGGCAAGCUGCCAGUAGGAAGCAGCAUGUGAAAUUUAGCAAGGAGCCAGGCUGGGUGAUAUUUGCUCUGUAGAUGCUCUUAAAGGCUUCAUAACUUAUUUAUGAGGAGAAAAGAAGUAAAACUUGUGCAUUUACAUCACAUCCCUGCAUGUUUCCAAGAAAGGCCUAAGGUGAAUCCAUGACUUCUGUACCUGUUUUGUAUGGCAGUCUUCUAUUAGAAGAAUCUGCUUCUGGACAUAGUACAGGAAUCAGUCCAAAAUGAACCAUCAGGGCAACAAAUGCCAUGCUCCAGUGGCCUCCCCUGACGUUUGACCUGCCCUGCAAUCACCA